UCUCCGUAGGUGAACCUGCGGAGGGAUCAUUACAGAGUUCAUGCCCUACCGGGUAGAUCUCCCACCCUAUGUUAUUAUUACUUUGUUGCUUUGGCGGGCCGUUAGGCUCCGGCCCGACUACCGGCCCCGGCUGGUAAGCGCCCGCCAGAGGACCCAAAACCCUGAAUAUUAGUGUCGUCUGAGUACUCUAUAAUAGUUAAAACUUUCAAUAACGGAUCUCUUGGUUCUG
rnacentral:misc_RNA from 1 species